rnacentral:rRNA from 1 species
CUACGUGCCAGCAGCCGCGGUAAUACGUAGGGGGCAAGCGUUAUCCGGAUUUACUGGGUGUAAAGGGAGCGCAGGCGGUUUGGCAAGUUGAGAGUGGAAGCAGGGGGCUCAACCCCCUGACUGCUCCCAAAACUGUUAAACUUGAGUAUGGGAGAGGCAGGCGGAAUUCCUAGUGUAGCGGUGAAAUGCUUAGAUAUUAGGAAGAACACCGGUGGCGAAGGCGGCCUGCUGGACCAAAACUGACGCUGAGGCUCGAAAGCGUGGGUAGCAAACAGGAUUAGAUACCCUGGUAGUCCACGCUGUAAACGAUGAAUACUAGGUGCUGGGAGGCAUAAGCCUUUCGGUGCCGUCGCAAACGCAUUAAGUAUUCCACCUGGGGAGUACGUUCGCAAGAAUGAAACUCAAAGGAAUUGACGGGGGCCCGCACAAGCGGAGGAACAUGUGGUUUAAUUCGAUGAUACGCGAGGAACCUUACCCGGGCUUGAAUUGCAGAGGAAGGAUUUAGAGAUA